rnacentral:rRNA from 1 species
GCAUACCUUAGAGCCUAAAUCAUACUAAAUAUGUAAAUAGUAUUACUAUCAAAUCCUCCUUCAAAAAGAUUUCCAAGCAUUUAUCCGUAUAAAUAAAUUUAUUGUAACCCACCUCUUCUUUUCCAUAAGCUGCACCUUGAUCUGAUCUUAUCUAUAUAUUAGAUUAUGAAAAUUUGAUUCCUUUUAAAAUUUUCAUAUCACAACGAUAUACAAACAAAUAGGAAAAGUAAAUUCAAUCGUGGAUCAUCAAUUAUAGGACAGGUUCCUCUGAAUGGCAUAAGGUACCGCCAAAUCUUUUAAUUUUCAAGAACAUAGCUACUAAUAACCUAAAACAAAAUUUAAACUCCUA